rnacentral:rRNA from 1 species
GACGAACGCUGGCGGCGUGCUUAACACAUGCAAGUCGAACGAGACGAUUGAAAGCUUGCUUUUAAAAGUCGAGUGGCAAACGGGUGAGUAACGCGUAGACAACCUGCCUUUGAGAUGGGGACAACAGUUCGAAAGGACUGCUAAUACCGAAUGUUGUAUAUUUUCCACAUGGAAGAUAUAUUAAAGAUGGCCUCUAUUUAUAAGCUAUCGCUCACAGAUGGGUCUGCGUCUGAUUAGCUGGUUGGUGGGGUAACGGCCUACCAAGGCGACGAUCAGUAGCCGGUCUGAGAGGAUGAACGGCCACAUUGGGACUGAGACACGGCCCAGACUCCUACGGGAGGCAGCAGUGGGGAAUCUUCCACAAUGGACGAAAGUCUGAUGGAGCAACGCCGCGUGAGUGAAGAAGGGUUUCGGCUCGUAAAGCUCUGUUGUCGGGGACGAAUGUGCAGUAUUUGAAUAAAGUACUGCAAUGACGGUACCUGACGAGGAAGCCACGGCUAACUACGUGCCAGCAGCCGCAGUAA